rnacentral:rRNA from 1 species
AAUGAACGUUGGCGGCGUGGAUUAGGCAUGCGAGUCGUGCGAGAAUCGUAGCAAUACGAGGAAAGCGGCGAAAGGGACAGUAAUACGUAGAAAUCUACCCUUAGACCGGGGGAUAGCGGCGGGAAACUGCCGGUAAUACCCGAUAAUGUCUUUGGACCAAAGGUGUGAUUCCGUCUAGGGAUGAGUCUACGUCCUAUUAGCUAGUUGGUGAGGUAACGGCCCACCAAGGCAACGAUGGGUAGCGGGUGUGAGAGCAUGACCCACGUCAUUGGGACUGAGAACUGCCCAGACACCUACGGGUGGCUGCAGUCGAGAAUCUUCGGCAAUGGACGCAAGUCUGACCGAGCGACGCCGCGUGCGGGAUGAAGGCCUUCGGGUUGUAAACCGCUGUCGUAGGGGAACAAGUGUACGGGGGUUCUCCCCCUGUAUUUGAGUGAUCCUAGGAGGAAGGAGAGGCUAAGCUCGUG